rnacentral:rRNA from 1 species
UAGGGAAUCUUCGGCAAUGGGGGCAACCCUGACCGAGCAACGCCGCGUGAGUGAAGAAGGUUUUCGGAUCGUAAAGCUCUGUUGUAAGUCAAGAACGGGUGUGAGAGUGGAAAGUUCACACUGUGACGGUAGCUUACCAGAAAGGGACGGCUAACUACGUGCCAGCAGCCGCGGUAAUACGUAGGUCCCGAGCGUUGUCCGGAUUUAUUGGGCGUAAAGCGAGCGCAGGCGGUUUGAUAAGUCCGAAGUUAAAGGCUGUGGCUCAACCAUAGUUCGCUUUGGAAACUGUCAAACUUGAGUGCAGAAGGGGAGAGUGGAAUUCCAUGUGUAGCGGUGAAAUGCGUAGAUAUAUGGAGGAACACCGGUGGCGAAAGCGGCUCUCUGGUCUGUAACUGACGCUGAGGCUCGAAAGCGUGGGGAGCGAACAGGAUUAGAUACCCUGGUAGU